CGACGACUGCGCCACUGCGCGGUAUCUCGUCGAAACGAUCCGACGGGCACGCGAGAGGGGUGAGGACGGGAGGCUGAAGACAGAGAAAAGAAGGGGGAUGCCAGGGAGGGAAAGAGACAAGUAGAUCGGUGCGCGUGCACGGUAAUAGUAGGUUCUACGUAUAGAAAGAGAAAUAUAUAGACCGUGUGUGUUGUGCGCUUGCGUGUGUGUAUGCUGCGUGUGUGUAUGUGUGUGUGUGUGUGUGUGUGUGUAGUUUGAUUUGCGUACUCCGGAAAGGAAAAGCGAGAGAGAUAAGGUUGGACUCAACGGGAAAGCGCGAGCGCGUACGACGAAGACGUGGCCGAAACUGACGGUCGUUCCAGUUGCCUUCGUUUCGUCGUCGUGACAAACAUGUCGUGUAGACCACCGACGGAUGGAUGGACACGCGACACAGCGGGACGGAUUUUCGUGGACGCGAGGGUCGCGUUUUAGUUGUUUGUCGCGUUGUACAGUGGCGCUCACGACGUUGGGACGCCCACCACCUGUAGUGCUCACCCUCUUUUCCUCGCGGCGAACCAUCCUCCCUCGCCCGCCACACGCGCGCGCAUUCGCAUUACGUCGUCCUUUUAGCCUGAUACCCCUUUCGCGCUUUACAUUUCUAAUCGAGUGGAGUGGGGAGUGCUGGAAGGGGGUGAAUUUUAAAUUCGUGUUUAGUUGUCGCUGUCAUCGCCAAUCUUCGCCAUCAUCGCUGCAUCACGUGACAUAACCUGCACUCUUUUUGGUGAUGGAUACAGCGAAGUACGAGGUCAGCCAAGUUCAUAAACAUAAAGGCAAACAGAAACGGACGUUCCUGGAAUUGUUUUGAAGCCAACCUCGACAUUCCUGGAAUUAUUUUGGAGCCAAAUGUCGUAACGCGGUCCCGCGGCCGCCAGCCUCUUUUACGUGGACGUUCCAAAGUUGGUCAUUGUACAACGAAGGGAUGUGGCAACGAAGAAUUCAGCGGCAAGGCAAGGGCGGAGGAAUGGAAAGUAGGGUAAGUUGUUUCACUUAUUUAUGGGCGGUUUUAACGCGGGGUAAUUGGAUACGAAACAACCGGCGAAAUAUUUUUGGAGAUUUAUCGGGGGAGAGGGUAAGCUGCGUUCUCUGACU